rnacentral:lncRNA from 1 species
UUCAAAGUGGUGCAAAGAGUCAAGUGGGCAUUAAAAUUGUUAAAUAAGUUAGGCAACAUUUUCUCAUUCAUAUGGUGAUUGGUGUAUUUAUAAUAGACGAUGGACCAAAGAAAAUAAUGCUUUUAAUGAUGUAAUAUAGAAUUCAUGAUUGCGAAAGGGACUCUCACUAUCAAUGGAAAUGAAAACUCUUUAAGCCUAUGCACAUGUCAAAAUCAUUUUCAGAACAAAGAAUUGUGGUUAAAGACGUCACCUUUAAGGAUAUGUGUAGUCCUCUUGAUGCUAACACUUAAGAUGCGACCAAAAUUCACUACCAACAGUUUACAGCACUUCCUGUUCAAUUUCUCAGCUACAAUUGUGUGUAUCAGAAGUCACUUCAUUCUCAAGUUCUUUAAUCAGCUUUUCAAUUCGUCUUCUAUAAGCCGGCAUAAAAUGGUCGUUUAUCAUGGUAUGCGAUAGCCUUAAUUUACUAUACAAUGACCUGGGAGUGAGAAAAAUUCCAACCUUCGCCUCUUCCUCCGGCUGGCUUUGGUCCCCGUCAUUGGAAAUACUGCUAUCACUCUCACGGCCCACUUCGUCGGAUGUUAGUGUCACAAUAUGCAUUAUCUUUCCCGGAGGGAAAAAUCUAUGCACCUCCUUGGCAUCUGGGAUAGAGCUUUGGGUCUGGCUGUCACUUACUUCUGCAAUGGCUGCUUCUUCUUCUUCCCUAAUUUCCUUGGCCACAUCGGCUUCACCACUAUCAGCUUGCUCAUUAAGCUUGAGCUCGAGUUGUUCCCACAACUCUAUUUCCAUUGUGUGAUCUUCAUGCCUUACAUCAUACGCAACCUCGUCAUCAUCAUCCUUAGUAGCCAUACUAUCUGAGACACCAACCUCAUCUAUAAAGUUGUCUGAACUCUCAACCAUUCCAUCAGAAGAAGAUACAGGAAGUUCCAUAUUUUCAAUAGCCGUUCUUGUCUCUUCAGUGGUCGUGAGAAAAGGCUCCGAAGUUUCUCUUUGAGUUGAAGAAGAUCCUGAUGAGUCUUCUCCUUCAUUAUAAUUUAUCUGAGCAAUUGAGGAUCGACGACGUGGACCUAUGCAUGACCAUGAGCGUAGGUAAGGGCGUGACCAAGCUGCCUGAGCCAUGCUUUGUGCUCUCUUCAUAACAACCUAGUUAACACAACAACAUCAGUCCUAUAUAAUAGAACUAAAUACAUCUGGAAUUAUAAAGAUCAAAAAGUAUACAUAGGCACAUAUGGUUAAAGGUAAUACCACCCCUCACAUUAUGAAGC